AGGUGGCCGAGGUCUGCUGGUGCAGGCUCUGUUCUGCCUUCUGCGAGAGGAAGGACGCCCCUUUCCAGUCCAGUUUUUUUUUCAAACAUCAAAACAUCGAUCGGGAACAUUGUGACCACCUGAACAUCGUGACCAUCGCAACCAGCUCACAAUAUUGUUUUUAUCCAGUUUAGACCAAAAUGUUGCACCAAAGUAGCUGGAUGAGUAAGAUAAGCGACAGAAGUGGGUGGCACACACACAUGACACAUCUAGGAGUGGCACUGCAGUGACAGACAGGAUGGCAGUUUUAUUAACUAUGCAUUAUGUGCUCUGGAGCAUUUUUUGGGCAAAGAAAUAAGAUGCAAAAUGGAAUUGUCCUUCGGCCCUCCCACCCACCCUUAUGUUGUAUAUAUUAAACAGGAUAUGCACAGUUUAACAAACCAAUAAUUUCAGUGACAGGGACCGUCAUUUGUGUCUGGAAUGAUUGGUUUGUUUGGGCUCCCACAAAACAAUUUUUUAGAAGGACUUCCUCCGUUAAGUUAUUACUCUGAGAAUGUUGAUGAGGUGUUAAUUACAUCAUAAUCUUGUACAAUAAAUUUUAUGUCUUUGCCGCAAAUGAUGUAACAUGGAGGAAGUGCCAAGAUGGCUAAUGUUCCUACCGCUACUAAAUAUGGCUUCACAAACGGAGCAGAUGCUUUCAUAAACAUUGUCAGGAUUGGGGUAAAAAUAAUCCCACACCCAAGAGGUGGCUUUUUUGGUCUUAUGUCCAGGCAUCGCAAUGGCUUUCUUUUUAUCACGGUCAACAACUGCAGCCACCAGUGGCUGACUUACACAAACAACAUUAUCAUCAACAUCCUCACUGUCAGAUAGUAAACGCAUAUCCCCCUUAUCCUGUCCCACUUCCACACACGAAUCCUCAGUUUGUAUUAUGUCCUCCUCAUCAGAUUCAUCACCCUCCUCAUCAGAUUCAUCACCAUAUAGACUUGUACUGCUCCCCACAUGUGCACAUGGUUCAGAAAUGGUGGAAGGAGGUGAAAAAGGCUUCUCUAUGAGGACAGUGUGAGAAAUUUCAGACUCAUAGCUGUCGUGGACACCCCUAAACGUUCCUCAAGAAUGUCUAAUGGUUCUGAUUCUGCAUGUGCAGUUUGUCUUACUGCCUCUGCAACUAACAUUUCUAACAUUUAUUUUGAUAUUUUUUUUCUACACCACUCUAAAAUUAAAUUAUUUUACAUACCCUGACUUAAGCCCUCUAUGCCCCUGGGCAUCUGCCUUAGCAGAUGGCGUUGAUGGACUUGCAUUGUCAAUGUCAUGACUAGUGGCAGCAGCUUCAGCACUAGUAGUAGCCUCCAUUUCUAUCAACACAAAGUGGGGUUGACCUUCAACUACAGCGUCACACAAAUGAGUCAGAAAUGUAUAUAAUAAUUAAUUACACACUGCGGUUGACUUUACCGACAGUGUUGCACAAAUGACUCAGAAAUUGAUAUAAUAAUUGCACACUGCAGUUGACCUCACCAACAGCGUCGCACAAAUGAGUCAGAAAUGUAUAUAAUAAUAAUUAAAUACUGCUAUUGACUUCACCGACAGCGUAGCACAAUACGUGUAUGAGUAGGAAAUAAUAUACUGUGGUCUGAUUUGCAAUGUCACAGUACUUAUGAAAAUAAAAUAAAAAUGGUAUAGUACACUGGGGUACAGCUCAGACAAAAAAUAUAUAUUUUUUAAAUUUUAGACUUUUUGUUUUUAGCUUUUAUUAUUUUAAUUUUACACUGGUGCAGAGCCCCUGGAUGGACGGACAGAUCACCCCUUUCAGAUACAGCAGACAGAGAGCACCCCUUUUUCAGAUACAACAGACAGAGAGAGCACCCCUUUUGCAGAUACAGCAAGCAGAGACAGAGAGCACCCCUUUUGCAGAUACAGCAGGCAGAGAGCACCCAUUUUUCAAAUACAGCAGACAGAGCACCCCUUUUUCAGAUGCAGCAGAAAACACCCCUUUUUCAAAUACAGCAGAUAGGACACCCCCACCCGCCGCACACCUCGCCACCCAGUACUGAGAUGGACACAUCUGUCCAAUGCCGGAGUGAAGAUGGCGCCGAUGCACGGGGAAAUUAUAUAGAAACCAAAACCCGUGAGAACCCGACAGCGGCAUGAUAAUGUUUUGCCUCAUUUUGGGAUCCGAGUAAGGCGGGAAGUCCUGAGCCGGACUCGGAUCUCACCUCGGAUCGCUCAUCCCUGAUCAUAACACACAUGCAGGUAAUGAAGGCUGUUCAGCUGACAUGUUUGAUCAGUGUAUGUAAUGGUGAUUGUAGAGUGUAAAAACUUUGACUUCUGGAGACUGCAGGGUAGACUCUAAAGGGAAUAGCAUGCAUCUCACCAGGUGACCUAGUUGUAGCACAAUAUGCAUAAAGGUAUUGUCACAUUAGUGCAGUCAUCAAUUGGAAGUUACUUUAAUUUAGCUCUCUGACCACCAUCAGCAUGUAUUUUUAUUCCCAGGCUGCCUUUUCAAUGGCACCCCUCAAGGCAUGGCUCCCUAUGCAUAGAAACAUAGAAUUUGACAGCAGAUAAGAACCACUUGGCCCAUCUAGUCUGCCCCUUUUUUUUUUUUUAUCCUUUAUGUAAUCUCAACCCUUUUUGAACCCUAAUUCUAAUGCAUGUUUCAGUCAGUAUGCACAACCGCAAAAUGUCCUGUGUGCAUGGGCUAUAUAGAUCUUCAGCAACUCUCAUAAACAAAAAAAACAGGACCCUUUCAUCUCCAAGUCCAGAAGCUACAACGAUCAUCCAAUCUGUGCAAAGCUUGGGAGGUUCCUUGCCAGUGGAAUAUGGUAAACCUAUUCCCAUGCUCGAUGUUCAAGUUUCUCAAUGGAUAUUGGAUCUAGAGGGCUAUAUUUUUUAACCUCAAUCUGGGAGUAAAUACAUUAUACCCUGACAAUCCUCAGUUGGGAAGAAGAAAAAUAAUAAUAAACACACAGAGGUGAAAUAAAAGAAUAAAAGGUAGACUACUGGUCCCCAACAAGGCUUCCAGGACAUGAUGGCACUUGGAAAAUUACAAGCAUACCCUGGAAUCAAAAGUCUCAUGGCAUUUGUAGUUCAUCUGCACAGAAAAAUAUUAAAACAAAGACACCCACUCCAUAGAAAAAAGUUUUUUAUUAAAUAAACAAGCCCCCACAAUUGUUUACUCAAUUCAAUGGGAAAGGAUUAUGUUCGUUCCAUGCAGACAUCCUAGACAACACUACUCAUCCAUUGCGGGACUCAGCUGCCAAUGAGAGGUCACCCAAGGACACUCUCCUUAAAAAUGCAUAGAGCUGCGCUAACUGGCAGUUCCUAGUUCCUAUAUGAUCUGUGCAGUAUUGCUUCAAACACUCCUGCUGAAAGCAGAUCAUUUAUUUGGGUGGGUUUGCAUUUAGUAAAUCCAAGGUUUCUACGUAUACCAAUAAUUUAAAAAAAACAAUCAUUGUUCAUUUCUAUUCUAAAGUGUGGCUUUUCGUCAGUUUCCCUUCAGUUUGGGCGUUAGUUAGUCUAUAGAGCGCAUACACACGGUGCAAUGUAACCUUACGAUAUUAGAAACACAGAAACGUAGAAUUUGAUGGCAGAUAAGAACCAUUUGGCCCAUCUAGUCUGCCCCGUUUUUUUACCAUAUUUUUAUCUCAACCCUUAUUUAAUCCUUAUUUCUUUGUAAGGAUAUCCUUAUGUCUAUCACAUGCAUGUUAAAUUGCUCUACUGUCUUAGCCUUGUCGAAGUCGAAAAAUAUUAUAGGCACACACAUUACGUACAAAUACCACACAGAUGGCCUCCGUGCGGGUGCUUGUUCUGCCGUGCUCGCAAGCAACGUAUAAUCGCUCACGCGGUCUUGCGUGUUAGCACAUGGUAUGAGUAAAUACGGUAACAUACGCAUUCGCACAGAAAAGGCACAAAAGCCAUAUUCAGUAUUUUAUCCAUAUAGUGCAUAACUCACACACAGUCUGUACAUCCUUCAAUAGCAAGUUACUGCACACACAAAUUAAUCAAACCACUCAUACGCAUAGAAAGGCGAUUCACAAACAGUGUCUUGAAUGUAUCAGACUAUCUUGUUUACGCAAAGCUUUGUAAUCAUGGAACAUGGACCCUGGUCUAUGGGAAAGAUAAAUACCAUUGUUUGCCCCCAUUGUUCUAGAGUUGUCCAGUAUCUGUUGAAGACAGCAGAUACUGGACUGUCAUUGUUUUACUAGAAGCCAGGACAAACAAGAAGACAAUAUCCUACACACAACACAAGCCAGAAACCUUGCUUGUACAAUAACUUGAAAAAACUCAAUUAACAACUUACAAAAGCACAUACCAGACAUAUAAUAUAUAUAUAUAUAUAUAUAUAUAUAUCAGAGGUAUAACAUUUAUAGUCUAAACUCAUGGUAAUAUAUGUAUACUUCAUAACUAAUUGUAAUAGCAGGAAUGUAUGUGUAUAUAUAUAUAUGUGUAUAUAUAUAUGUAUAUAUAUAUGUAUGUAUAUAUAUAUAUAUAUAUAUCUUGAGGAUGGAAAUGGAUAAUCAUAUGUGUGGGAUCAUAUUGUUCAGGGUCACAUAAGCAGUAAUCCAGUAGGUAUGAGGAUAUUGGCGCAUAUUGCAACAAUACGUUAUUAGUAAUACCAGAUUUAUGUGUGAUUAAUGUGGUGGGUUUAACUGGUCAUGGGGUGGGAACACAGAUGUAAACAACAGUAAUCACAUCUCAAGACUUAGCCAUCGCCCACCGCUUGAGCUGACCAAUGAUCCCCAGUGCACAGGAUAUGUCCCACCCCCGAACCAAUGGAAGAAGAGCAUACAGUUUCUAUUGUUUCAUGCUUUGGAAUAUUGUAUAAAAGCCAAGCCUCCUGGCCGGUCAGGUACAUUCUCUGAAAGUCAUCUUUCCAGAUAGACAGAGGACCGGAACCGGAUGGCGCUGGCGAACAAACGUAUGUAUCAUUGAUUGUAGCCUGUAUCUCUUAUGUAAUUGUAUUAUUGUUGUAACCCCCUGUUUAGUAAAUAACUGUUGGUGGGUCGGAUCCCGUUCCUUUCCUGCUGGGGGUUAUAAAGUGUAUUCCGCCUCACGUGUAGCUACUCUGUGCUUACAGCAUGACGGCGUGCUUACGCAACGUGUACGCAUCUGUUAGGGGUUUCACACACACACACACACACUUAGCGGUCGCAGCGGCCUGAACAGAUAUAUAUUUAAGGUAUUGCUUUUCUUCCUAUAAGUUAAUCAGCAUUAACAGCCUCUACCACCUCUGAUGGGAGACUAUUCCACUGUCCACUACCCUUUCUGUGAAGUAUUUUUUCCUCCAAUUUCCCCUGAACCUAGCUCCCUCCAGUCUCAGUGCAUGUCCUCAUGUCCUGUUGCUUCGAAUGUUUCCCUCCUGGACUUUAUUAAAACCUUUGAUAUAUUUGUAAGUUUC